rnacentral:rRNA from 1 species
GCGAACGUUUGCGGCGGGCCUAACACAUGCAAGUCGAACGCACUAGCAAUAGUGAGUGGCGCACGGGUGCGUAACACGUGGGUAAUCAACCCUUCAGCCUGGGAUAACGACUCGAAAGGGUCGCUAAUACCGGAUACGGCGCGAGAGGCUUCGGCUUCUCACGAGAAAGCCACGCAAGGGGCACUGAAGGACGAGCCUGCGGCCCAUCAGCUAGUUGGUGAGGUAAGAGCUCACCAAGGCUAAGACGGGUAGCUGGUCUGAGAGGAUGAUCAGCCACACUGGAACUGAGACACGGUCCAGACUCCUACGGGAGGCAGCAGUGGGGAAUAUUGCGCAAUGGGCGAAAGCCUGACGCAGCCACGCCGCGUGAGCGAUGAAGGCCUUCGGGUCGUAAAGCUCUGUGGGGAGAGACGAAGAAAGCCUGUGAAGAGCAGGCCUUGACGGUAUCUCCUUAGCAAGCACCGGCUAACUCCGUG